rnacentral:rRNA from 1 species
CGGCAACAGCUCAAAUUUGAAAUCUGGCCCUCGUGGUCCGAGUUGUAAUUUGUAGAGGAUGCUUUUGGUGCGGUGCCUUCCGAGUUCCCUGGAACGGGACGCCAUAGAGGGUGAGAGCCCCGUCUGGUUGGACACCUAUCCUCUGUAAAGCUCCUUCGACGAGUCGAGUAGUUUGGGAAUGCUGCUCUAAAUGGGAGGUAAAUGUCUUCUAAAGCUAAAUACCGGCCAGAGACCGAUAGCGCACAAGUAGAGUGAUCGAAAGAUGAAAAGCACUUUGAAAAGAGGGUUAAAUAGUACGUGAAAUUGUUGAAAGGGAAGCGUUUGUGACCAGACUUGGGCUUGGUUAAUCAUCCAGCGUUCUCGCUGGUGCACUUUGCCAGCCCAGGCCAGCAUCAGUUCGCCGCGGGGGAUAAAAGCUUCGGGAAUGUGGCUCUUCGGAGUGUUAUAGCCCGCUGCACAAUACCCUGUGGCGGACUGAGGUUCGCGCAUCUGCAAGGAUGCUGGCGUAAUGGUCAUCAACGACCCGUCUUGAAACACGGACCAAGGAGUCGUCUUCGUAUGCGAGUGUUCGGGUGUCAAACCCCUACGCGUAAUGAAAGUGAACGGAGGUGGGAGCCUCGGCGCACCAUCGACCGAUCCUGAAGUUUACGGAUGGAUUUGAGUAAGAGCAUACGGGGCCGGACCCGAAAGAAGGUGAACUAUGCCUGUAUAGGGUGAAGCCAGAGGAAACUCUGGUGGAGGCUCGCAGCGGUUCUGACGUGCAAAUCGAUCGUCAAAUAUGGGCAUGGGGGCGAA